rnacentral:rRNA from 1 species
GACAGAGGGUGCAAACGUUGUUCGGAAUUACUGGGCGUAAAGCGCGUGUAGGCUGCUCUGUGUGUCGGAUGUGAAAGCCCCGGGCUCAACCUGGGAACUGCGUUUGGGACUGGCAAGCUAGAGUACGGCAGAGGGGGGUGGAAUUCCACGUGUAGCAGUGAAAUGCGUAGAUAUGUGGAGGAACACCGAUGGCGAAGGCAGCCCCCUGGGCCGAUACUGACGCUCAGGCACGAAAGCGUGGGGAGCAAACAGG